AUUGAACGCUGGCGGCAUGCCUUACACAUGCAAGUCGAACGGCAGCACGGGAGCAAUCCUGGUGGCGAGUGGCGAACGGGUGAGUAAUAUAUCGGAACGUGCCCAGUCGUGGGGGAUAACGUAGCGAAAGCUACGCUAAUACCGCAUACGAUCUACGGAUGAAAGCGGGGGAUCGCAAGACCUCGCGCGAUUGGAGCGGCCGAUAUCAGAUUAGGUAGUUGGUGAGGUAAAGGCUCACCAAGCCGACGAUCUGUAGCUGGUCUGAGAGGACGACCAGCCACACUGGGACUGAGACACGGCCCAGACUCCUACGGGAGGCAGCAGUGGGGGAAUUUUUGGACAAUGGGCGCAAGCCUGAUCCAGCAAUGCCGCGUGCAGGAUGAA
rnacentral:rRNA from 1 species